GGAAUCUUCCACAAUGGACGAAAGUCUGAUGGAGCAACGCCGCGUGAGUGAAGAAGGUUUUCGGAUCGCAAAGCUCUGUUGUUGGUGAAGAAGGAUAGAGGCAGUAACUGGUCUUUAUUUGACGGUAAUCAACCAGAAAGUCACGGCUAACUACGUGCCAG
rnacentral:rRNA from 1 species